rnacentral:rRNA from 1 species
GAUGAACGCUGGCGGCGUGCCUAAUACAUGCAAGUCGAGCGAACGGACGAGAAGCUUGCUUUUCUGAUGUUAGCGGCGGACGGGUGAGUAACACGUGGAUAACCUACCUAUAAGACUGGGAUAACUUCGGGAAACCGGAGCUAAUAUCGGAUAAUAUUUUGAACCGCAUGGUUCAAAAGUGAAAGACGGUCUUGCUGUCACUUAUAGAUGGAUCCGCGCUGCAUUAGCUAGUUGGUAAGGUAACGGCUUACCAAGGCAACGAUGCAUAGCCGACCUGAGAGGGUGAUCGGCCACACUGGAACUUAGACACGGUCCAGACUCCUACGGGAGGCAGCAGUAGGGAAUCUUCCGCAAUGGGCGAAAGCCUGACGGAGCAACGCCGCGUGAGUGAUGAAGGUCUUCGGAUCGUAAAACUCUGUUAUUAGGGAAGAACAUAUGUGUAAGUAACUGUGCACAUCUUGACGGUACCUAAUCAGAAAGCCACGGCUAACUACGUG